rnacentral:lncRNA from 1 species
AAAUGUCGCAAACGCAGAAAACACCUGAACAGUCCUUUUCUGACAAGUUGUCGUCCAUAGAGAAGACACCAUCGACUGAAAAAACAAUAGUCAAUAAAAUUGUUCAUUCUUGUGUUUGCAGUGUUUUAAAGGAAUGUAAAUCUCAAGAGUCUAUUUGUGAGAGCAUCAACAGUAAUGGGGAGAAUCUAGCAAAAAGGCUAACGAGCACAGUGAUAAAUGAAAUUUUUCAGCAUCAGCUUAACUUGAUGUUUUCUGAUGAGAUACCAGCUUCAGCAUGUGUGCCUCUGGAAUCAAAAGAUGUUGAGAAAAAGGUCCAAACUGCCGUGAAAACAGUCAGUAAAGAAUGUCAGACCUCAUCUCCCUAUACCAUACAGUUACCUUACAAAUUUUUAGAGGAUGUAUCUUCCGGUCUUUUAGCAAAAGUCUUUUCAAAACUAUCCAAUGUCAAGACAAAACUAACUCCAGAAAAUGUGUUGACGCAACUAGACUUCAUUCAAAUGAAUUUAGUAAAAACGAUUGCAGCAGAGAUUUCCAAAAAUGAAGAUCUGAUUAUACAGUACGUAGAAUCCUUGCAUCCAAAUGAUGAUGAAAUUGUUCAACUGGUGGUUCAAACAAUUUAUAAUAAUCUUUUGCCACAGUUUGGAUCACAGGAAAUCUUACAAAAAUGUUUAAUUAGUGGGUGCAAAGUCCUUUCAAAA